UACGGCAACAUCACGUUGAAACAUCAAUUCCCGUACGAUUACUAAAGUUAAGCAACGUCGAGCUUGGUCAGUACUUAGUUGAGUGAUCGCUUGGCAAUACCAGGUACUGUAA